GGCUGCACACCGAGAGGAGGUAGAAUGGCUGGCAGAAUGGUGUGAGCACAACAACUUGAGUCUCAAUGUGGACAAGAGACAAGUAAGGGUGCCUUCAGGGCAAAUUUGUUGCACAGCAGCUCAAUGAAUAUGAUAAAAUAUUCCUGUUUCAGCCUACUACAGCUGAGAAUCACAACUGUAUCCAAGAUCUAUUCUCAGUGACAGUACUGGAAGAUGUUGGAAUGUCUCCCACGUUACAUGCAUAAAAAAGGCUGAGAGGAAUACACGUCAAAUGCAGGGAAAUGGGACUAGCUCAGACAGCCAUCUUGAACAGCAUGGAUGCUGACCGAUCUGAUCUUUGAACAGCAUUUUCUGAGAGCAAGGUUAUGGAGCUCUGGCUCAAUAAUAAGGAAGAGUUACUUGGACAAUCAGUACUGUUGAACUGUUGGCAAAGAAAGUUGUGUGGGGAGAGGGGUUGUGACUUCAGUAUACAGCAUAAGCCUAUGAAAGAUGGUUCCUAUUAUCUUGCACAAGGCCAGUGAACUGCAGACACCAUAGAUCACACAGUGGAUGCAGGUAAGGGUAAAUCCAGCAAGAGAAAUAACUUGGAGUGGAUAUUUUGAGGAAUGCAGUGAUAGAUACUAGUGACCCAGACAUCUUCAUCUGAAAAUAGAAAUACCAGAGGGAAUUAUGUACAGUGAAUGGUAAAUGCUCACUCAGUAUAAAAUGCACACCUCAAAAUAAGCAACACACACAAAAUGCUGGUGGAACGCAGCAGGCCAGGCAGGGCGAAGCGUCUC